AUCCACCCAAGACCCGGUUCCUCGAUUCCCAUCGUUACGACCGAGGAGAAAAGAGAGUAAAUUUUCCUAUUAUAGCCUUCUCUCGCACCUUCCCCGCUUCCCACCAGCCGUCUCCACUGUCCUCACCGUCCCCAUCCUCAUCCAUGGCGAAAUCUUCGCCCCCAGCCUCGUGAAGAUCUAGCACGUCCGCCAUCUCGCCUUCGAUCGAGAUCUCGUCUGUGCCGCUCAGACACUAGGUACCUCGGGAAACUGUCGCAGAGGGGAAAGGUCGCCAGUCAAGCUGACCAAUCAAAGGUUAACUCUAAAUCCCUCCCUCUGCACGGUAAAAACACGCAAAUUGGGGCGGGCCUAGUGAGGAAAGAUACCGGAAGUGUUUCUGUGGCCAUCUUGAGCAGGUCGCAAGCUAAAUCCUGCCAUCUUAGGAGGUACAGACUACAGGGGGCCGUGGCUUCCUCUUAACCGCGGCAGCUGCUGAUAAACACUGUACUAUUAACAGUGAGGCCCGGCGUAAUUUCCUUAUUAGAGGGCUUCUUUACGUCUCUUCAUCCCAAACUGGGAAAUGCUUGCUGGCCUGCUCUAUAGUGCUGUUGCUUAAAAAGUCAUCUGUGAAGAAAACCAGAGGGAGAAAUUUCACCUGCCAAAGUGGAUAAAGAGGACUGUGCUUGCAGCAAGAAAUAUUGAGGGAUGAGGUACUAUCUUCACUCAGAUAAAGAACAUGCUUGCUUCAGCUUGUUGUAAAAUGGCAAGUUCCCCAAGCUGUGGGUUCUAUAAGUGUUCCUCUGUUGUGAAGCAACCCAUGGCCUAUGCAAGUAUCUACCUGAGUCCUCUGCAUUGGACUUGGGAGGAGGCAAGGAGAACUAAUAUAAACAUGAUGCUCAUGCUACUUGCUGUGCUAUGAAUAAUAAAUUCCUUUGUCUCUAA
rnacentral:antisense_RNA from 1 species